CUACGGGUGGCUGCAGUGGGGAAUUUUGGACAAUGGAGGAAACUCUGAUCCAGGGAUACCGCGUGGGUGAUGAAGAUUUACGGAUUGUAAAGCCCUUUUAGUAGGGAAAAUAAUGAUGGUACCUACAGAAAAAGCAUCAGCUAACUCUGUGCCAGCAGCUGCGGUAAUACAGAGGAUGCGAGUGUUAUUCGGAAUCACUGGGCGUAAAGGGCGCGUAGGCGGUUAUUUAAGUCCGCAAUGAAAUACCGGGGCUCAACUUCGGUGCUGUUGUGGAUACUGUUUAACUAGAGAACGGAAGAGGUGAAUAGAAUUCCUGGUGGAGAGGUGAAAUUCUUAGAUAUCAGGAGGAAUGCCAGAGGCGAAAGCGGUUCACUGGGACGUUUCUGACGCUGAGGCGCGAAAGCGUGGGGAUCAAACAGGAUUAGAUACCCCCGUAGUC
rnacentral:rRNA from 1 species